rnacentral:rRNA from 1 species
CGUCAAGUCAUCAUGCCCCUUAUGUCCAGGGCUGCACGCAUGCUACAAUGGCCAGUACAAUGGGCUGCGAACUCGCGAGAGUGAGCCAAUCCCCAAAGCUGGCCUCAGUUCGGAUUGGAGUCUGCAACUCGACUCCAUGAAGUCGGAGUCGCUAGUAAUCGCAGAUCAGCAACGCUGCGGUGAAUACGUUCCCGGGCCUU